rnacentral:rRNA from 1 species
UACGUAGGGUGCGAGCGUUGUCCGGAAUUAUUGGGCGUAAAGAGCUCGUAGGCGGUGUGUCGCGUCGGUCGUGAAAACUUUCAGCUUAACUGGGAGCUUGCGGUCGAUACGGGCAUCACUGGAGUUCGGCAGGGGAGACUGGAAUUCAAGGUGUAGCGGUGAAAUGCGCAGAUAUCUUGAGGAACACCGGUGGCGAAGGCGGGUCUCUGGGCCGAUACUGACGCUGAGGAGCGAAAGCGUGGGGAGCAAACAGG